rnacentral:rRNA from 1 species
UACGUAGGGUGCGAGCGUUAAUCGGAAUUACUGGGCGUAAAGCGUGCGCAGGCGGUGAUGUAAGACCGAUGUGAAAUCCCCGGGCUUAACCUGGGAACUGCAUUGGUGACUGCAUUGCUGGAGUAUGGCAGAGGGGGGGUGGAAUUCCACGUGUAGCAGUGAAAUGCGUAGAGAUGUGGAGGAACACCGAUGGCGAAGGCAGCCCCUGGGCCAAUACUGACGCUCAUGCACGAAAGCGUGGGAGCAAACAG